rnacentral:misc_RNA from 1 species
GAGAUCUAGCUUACCCGAAUAAGCUGGCAAAUGCGAAAGCACUUGGAAGAAAGAAAGAUGGGUUCAGGCCAUGAAGAAGGGCUAAAGGUGGAAAAGAAAGGUGUAGCUGGGCAUAUCCAUGUUUGGGCACUUCACAUGAUGGGUCUUCCUCUUGCAAUCGAGAGAGGCAAAUAGGCGGAAAUCGGUACACUUUUAGUACGGUGGUAUGCGAGCA